rnacentral:rRNA from 1 species
AGUCGAGCGGAUGACAGGAGCUUGCUCCUGAAUCCAGCGGCGGACGGGUGAGUAAUGCCUAGGAAUCUGCCUGGUAGUGGGGGACAACGUCUCGAAAGGGACGCUAAUACCGCAUACGUCCUACGGGAGAAAGCAGGGGACCUUCGGGCCUUGCGCUAUCAGAUGAGCCUAGGUCGGAUUAGCUAGUUGGUGAGGUAAUGGCUCACCAAGGCGACGAUCCGUAACUGGUCUGAGAGGAUGAUCAGUCACACUGGAACUGAGACACGGUCCAGACUCCUACGGGAGGCAGCAGUGGGGAAUAUUGGACAAUGGGCGAAAGCCUGAUCCAGCCAUGCCGCGUGUGUGAAGAAGGUCUUCGGAUUGUAAAGCACUUUAAGUUGGGAGGAAGGGCAUUAACCUAAUACGCUAGUGUUUUGACGUUACCGACAGAAUAAGCACCGGCUAACUCUGUGCCAGCAGCCGCGGUAAUACAGAGGGUGCAAGCGUUAAUCGGAAUUACUGGGCGUAAAGCGCGCGUAGGUGGUUUGUUAAGUUGGAUGUGAAAGCCCCGGGCUCAACCUGGGAACUGCAUUCAAAACUGACAAGCUAGAGUAUGGUAGAGGGUGGUGGAAUUUCCUGUGUAGCGGUGAAAUGCGUAGAUAUAGGAAGGAACACCAGUGGCGAAGGCGACCACCUGGACUGAUACUGACACUGAGGUGCGAAAGCGUGGGGAGCAAACAGGAUUAGAUACCCUGGUAGUCCACGCCGUAAACGAUGUCNACUAGCCCGUUGGGGAGCC